rnacentral:tRNA from 2 species
CCGGUGGUAGCAAAGCGGUUAUGCGUCGGUCUGUAAAACCGAUCUAGGCAGGUUCAACUCCUGCCCACCGGA